UAUAAACUCCCUCUCUUAUCGAGUCACUCUGACAGAGAGGAGGAUCGCGUCAUUCACUCAGUGUCUCUCCCGUUUUCAGUCGGGGAAAAUUGUCCCGUUCAGACUGUGCCUGCGAAUGCUGGGCUUAAUGGCUUCAGUGAUAUCUGUAGUACGACUGGGACUACUAAUAAUGAGAGACUUUCAGCGCUGGGUCGCGCAUCUGCGUCUGUGUUCUCGGCGUCAUCUCAACCGACAGGUGAGAGUGACGUAUGCGUGCGUCAGAGCGCUCAGACAUUGGAAAAGCCCAGCGACCCUCAGAUCGGGGAUUCCCCUGGGGGCAGUGUCGUCGAGAGUCACUAUGACGACGGACGCAUCGUUAAAGGGCUGGGGAGCGACUUUAAUGGGCAGAGCUGUGAACGGCGUUUGGCCUCCUCAGCUAAUUCACAAACACAUAAAUUACUUGGAAUUGUUGGCAGUGUUUCUAGCGCUGAAACAUUUUCUGAGCUUCAUCAGGGGUCGUCAUGUUUUAGUGAAAACAGACAAUUCCACAGUGGUUGCUUAUAUCAACCGACAGGGAGGCACACGCUCUCUUCAGCUGCACCAGCUGGCAAAGGAGCUGAUUGUGUGGUGCGACAUAAGACUUUUAUCCAUCAGGGCAACCCAUGUUCCAGGGAUAUUGAACAGGGGGGCAGACUUGUUGUCCAGAGGAAAUCCCCUGUACGGAGAGUGGAAGCUUCAUCCCCAGGUGGUGAAGCAGAUAUGGCAGAGAUACGGCCAGGCGGUCGUAGAUCUCUUCGCCUCGCAGGAAAACGCCCAAUGUCCUCUGUUUUUCUCUCUGGCAGACGGAAAUGCACCAUUGGGUGUGGAUGCUUUAGCCCACCAAUGGCCAAAUGUCCUGCUGUAUGCAUUUCCCCCUCUGAGCCUGAUUUCACCCACUCUAGCCAGGGUGAGGGAAAUGGGAUUGUCGCUGAUACUGAUAGCCCCACGUUGGCCAUCCAGACCUUGGGUGGCCGAGAUAGUUCAACUACUGUCGGGUCAGCCGUGGCCCCUCCCUCCCU
rnacentral:lncRNA from 1 species